CCUACGGUGGCAGCAGUGGGGAAUAUUGGCCAAUGGGCGAAAGCCUGAUCCAGCCAUGCCGCGUGUGUGAAGAAGGCCUUCGGGUUGUAAAGCACUUUCAGUGGGGAAGAAAGCCUUGGGGCUAAUACCCUCGAGGAAGGACAUCACCCACAGAAGAAGCACCGGCUAACUCCGUGCCAGCAGCCGCGGUAAUACGGAGGGUGCGAGCGUUAAUCGGAAUUACUGGGGGUAAAGCGCGCGUAGGCGGUCUGAUAAGCCGGUUGUGAAAGCCCCGGGCUCAACCUGGGAACGGCAUCCGGAACUGUCAGGCUAGAGUGCAGGAGAGGAAAGUAGAAUUCCCGGUGUAGCGGUGAAAUGCGUAGAGAUCGGGAGGAAUACCAGUGGCGAAGGCGGCCUUCUGGACUGACACUGACGCUGAGGUGCGAAAGCGUGGGUAGCAAACAGGAUUAGAUACCCUAGUAGUC
rnacentral:rRNA from 1 species